rnacentral:snRNA from 1 species
UUACUUUAGGCAAAUAAUAAAAAUUUAAACAUAAAUGUUUAUCAAAGAAUUGAUGGAUAAACCCUGCAAGUUCCCCCCAAAUGUGGGAAACUUGACUGCAUAAGUUGUGGUAGUGGAUGACUGUGUUUGUACUCUCCUUUG